rnacentral:hammerhead_ribozyme from 1 species
AUCCAGAUGAUGAGUCCCAAAUAGGACGAAAUGCGCACCCUGGUU